GACGAACGCUGGCGGCGUGCUUAACACAUGCAAGUCGAACGGAAAGGCCCUGCUUUUGUGGGGUGCUCGAGUGGCGAACGGGUGAGUAACACGUGAGUAACCUGCCCUUGACUUUGGGAUAACUUCAGGAAACUGGGGCUAAUACCGGAUAGGAGCUCCUGCUGCAUGGUGGGGGUGGGAAAGUUUCGGCGGUUGGGGAUGGACUCGCGGCUUAUCAGCUUGUUGGUGGGGUAGUGGCUUACCAAGGCUUUGACGGGUAGCCGGCCUGUGAGGGUGACCGGCCACAUUGGGACUGCGAUACGGCCCAGACUCCUACGGGAGGCAGCAGUGGGGAAUAUUGCACAAUGGGCGGAAGCCUGAUGCAGCAACGCCGCGUGCGGGAUGACGGCCUUCGGGUUGUAAACCGCUUUCGCCUGUGACGAAGCGUGAGUGACGGUAAUGGGUAAAGAAGCACCGGCUAACUACGUG
rnacentral:rRNA from 1 species